UUAAAAAGCUCGUAGUUGGAUUUCUGCGGGGGCGGGGCGGCCGAACGCUUAUGGCGUUUCGAGCUAGCACUUCCCCUGCAUCCUGCCGCGAACCGUGCUACCAUUAGUUUGGUGGCGCCGGGGAUCGGCUCGUUUACUUUGAGAAAAAUAGAGUGUUCAAAGCAGGCCACACGCCUUGAAUAAGUUAGCAUGGAAUAAUGAUAAAGGACUUCGGUUCUAUUUUGUUGGUGUUCGGGACUGAAGUAAUGAUUGAUAGGGACAGUUGGGGCGGUCCGUAUUCCAAAGCGAGAGGUGAAAUUCUUUAGACCUUCGGAAGACUAACAGACUGCGAAAGCGUUCCGCA
rnacentral:rRNA from 1 species